GGGCAAUUAGCUCAGCGUGAGAGCACUGCCUUCACACGGCAGGAGUCGCUGGUUCGAACCCGGCAUCGCCCACUA
rnacentral:tRNA from 1 species